UUGUGCCGAAGGAGCAAUCUAGAGAGAGAGGCUCCUGCUUCUCUCUAACCCCAGCUCUCUCUUCUCACAGCUCCUGCUCCUGCUUUUCUCUUUGGUUUUCCCUCACCCAUGUGGUGACCCUUCAUCCUCUGUGGUGAUUCCUCAUCCUCUGUGUUUUUGUUCUUCCUUUGCUCCUCAAGAUUUUCAAACCGUGAACAAAUCUCCUUCUUCUUGUCUACCUUGUCCUGCCAUGGAAGCUUUCGUACACCUCUGCAACCACCUCUUCAGAUCUCAGGUUUAUUUGCUAAGAUCUAUUUUGGCUUGGUUGUUGUUGUUCUUUUAUGCGAGAUCUUCUCGUAAUCGGUCAACUGGAGAAUGUAUGGCGGCUCUGUCCGUAUCCUCACCUCUGCAGACCACCCUUGGUUACCAAUCCUCGCUUGCGGUUUCCGUCGGAGCUCCGGUGACGAAUCUGCUAUGGCGGCUACAAGUUGGAGAUGAAGAAGAAGCUUUGAUAAGGGUUUGGGUUUUUUGGGCUGCUUGGGCUUUUAAUUUUUAGUUUGGGUUUUAAUUUUAUCCUACUCAUGUCUUAAUUCGUAUGAAUUUCUGACUUUGAGGGGUUUGUUGCCUGUC